UACGUAGGGUGCAAGCGUUAAUCGGAAUUACUGGGCGUAAAGCGUGCGCAGGCGGUUGUGCAAGACAGAUGUGAAAUCCCCGGGCUCAACCUGGGAAUUGCAUUUGUGACUGCACGGCUAGAGUGUGUCAGAGGGGGUAGAAUUCCACGUGUAGCAGUGAAAUGCGUAGAGAUGUGGAGGAAUACUGAUGGCGAAGGCAGCCCCCUGGGAUAACACUGACGCUCAUGCACGAAAGCGUGGGGAGCAAACAGG
rnacentral:rRNA from 1 species